rnacentral:rRNA from 1 species
UACAGAGGUGGCAAGCGUUGUUCGGAAUUACUGGGCGUAAAGGGCGCGUAGGCGGCCUUCUAAGUCAGACGUGAAAUCCCCCGGCUUAACCUGGGAACUGCGUCUGAUACUGGGAGGCUCGAGUAUGGGAGAGGGAUGUAGAAUUCCAGGUGUAGCGGUGAAAUGCGUAGAUAUCUGGAGGAAUACCGGUGGCGAAGGCGGCAUCCUGGACCAUUACUGACGCUGAGGCGCGAAAGCCAGGGGAGCAAACGGG